AUUGAACGCUGGCGGCAGGCUUAACACAUGCAAGUCGAGCGGAGAUGAGGUGCUUGCACCUUAUCUUAGCGGCGGACGGGUGAGUAAUGCUUAGGAAUCUGCCUAUUAGUGGGGGACAACAUUCCGAAAGGAAUGCUAAUACCGCAUACGUCCUACGGGAGAAAGCAGGGGAUCUUCGGACCUUGCGCUAAUAGAUGAGCCUAAGUCGGAUUAGCUAGUUGGUGGGGUAAAGGCCUACCAAGGAGACGAUCUGUAGCGGGUCUGAGAGGAUGAUCCGCCACACUGGGACUGAGACACGGCCCAGACUCCUACGGGAGGCAGCAGUGGGGAAUAUUGGACAAUGGGGGGAACCCUGAUCAAGCCAUGCCGCGUGUGUGAAGAAGGCCUUAUGGUUGUAAAGCACUUUAAGCGAGGAGGAGGCUACUGAGACUAAUACUCUUGGAUAGUGGACGCUACUCGCAGAAUAAGCACCGGCUAACUCUGUGCCAGCCGCCGCCGUAAUAC
rnacentral:rRNA from 1 species